UACGUAGGGGGCAAGCGUUAUCCGGAUUUACUGGGUGUAAAGGGAGCGUAGACGGCACUGCAAGUCUGGAGUGAAAGCCCGAGGCCCAACCACGGGACUGCUCUGGAAACUGCCAUGCUAGAGUGCUGGAGAGGUAAGUGGAAUUCCUAGUGUAGCGGUGAAAUGCGUAGAUAUUAGGAGGAACACCAGUGGCGAAGGCGGCUCACUGGACUGUAACUGACGUUGAGGCUCGAAAGCGUGGGGAGCAAACAGG
rnacentral:rRNA from 1 species